rnacentral:rRNA from 1 species
UACGUAGGGGGCAAGCGUUGUCCGGAUUUAUUGGGCGUAAAGAGCGUGUAGGCGGCCAGACAGGUCCGUUGUGAAAACUCGAGGCUCAACCUCGAGACGUCGAUGGAAACCGUCUGGCUAGAGUCCGGAAGAGGAGAGUGGAAUUCCUGGUGUAGCGGUGAAAUGCGCAGAUAUCAGGAAGAACACCCGUGGCGAAGGCGGCUCUCUGGGACGGUUCUGACGCUGAGACGCGAAAGCGUGGGGAGCGAACAGG